UGGAAUGAAAAAACUAAAGAGACAACUGACUUACCACACAAAUGGACUUUGCCUAAAGGAAAAUUUACCUAAAAAGGCGUUUUCUUGCUAUGGCAGUGUAACCUGUACUAAUAAAUAUAGCACUAGUCCUGCAUGCAACAAAAAUGAUGUUUUAACCUGCCCAAAGGAUGGAAAGAGAAGAACGUAAGCAUAAUUUCUGAAUGCAUCACGGCAAAGAUGCAUGUACUCAUGAAGCAUAAAAUUAAAAAUAUGAUACAUUCACUACAUGAAAA
rnacentral:lncRNA from 1 species